ACGAACGCUGGCGGCGUGCUUAACACAUGCAAGUCGAGCGAUGAAGCUUCUUCGGAAGUGGAUUAGCGGCGGACGGGUGAGUAACACGUGGGUAACCUGCCUCAUAGAGGGGAAUAGCCUUCCGAAAGGAAGAUUAAUACCGCAUAAGAUUGUAAUAUUGCAUGAUAUAGCAAUUAAAGGAGUAAUCCGCUAUGAGAUGGACCCGCGUCGCAUUAGCUAGUUGGUGAGGUAACGGCUCACCAAGGCGACGAUGCGUAGCCGACCUGAGAGGGUGAUCGGCCACAUUGGGACUGAGACACGGCCCAGACUCCUACGGGAGGCAGCAGUGGGGAAUCUUCCGCAAUGGACGAAAGUCUGACGGAGCAACGCCGCGUGAGUGAAGAAAGGUUUUCGGAUCGUAAAACUCUGUUGUCAGAGAAGAACAAGUUGGAGAGUAACUGCUCCAGCCUUGACGGUAUCUGACCAGAAAGCCACGGCUAACUACGUGCCAGCAGCCGC
rnacentral:rRNA from 1 species